rnacentral:rRNA from 1 species
GGAGGGCGCAAGCGUUGUUCGGAAUUACUGGGCGUAAAGCGCGGGCAGGCGGUCUGUUAAGUCGUUUGUGAAAAUCCGGGGCUCAACCCCGGAAAUGCAUACGAUACUGGCAGGCUGGAGACUGGUAGAGGCUAGCGGAAUUCCUGGUGUAGCGGUGGAAUGCGUAGAUAUCAGGAAGAACACCUGUGGCGAAGGCGGCUAGCUGGGCCAGUUCUGACGCUCAUCCGCGAAAGCGUGGGGAGCAAACAGGAUUAGAUACCCUGGUAGUCCACGCCGUAAACGAUGGGCACUAGGUGCCGGGUCUCUAGACGGAUUCGGUGCCGCAGUUAACGCACUAAGUGCCCCGCCUGGGGAGUACGGUCGCAAGGCUGAA